rnacentral:rRNA from 1 species
UUUCUACAGGCUUAACACAUGCAAGUCGAGGGGCAUCAGGAAGAAAGCUUGCUUUCUUUGCUGGCGACCGGCGCACGGGUGAGUAACACGUAUCCAACCUGCCCUUUACUCGGGGAUAGCCUUUCGAAAGAAAGAUUAAUACCCGAUAGCAUAAUGAUUCCGCAUGGUUUCAUUAUUAAAGGAUUCCGGUAAAGGAUGGGGAUGCGUUCCAUUAGGUUGUUGGUGAGGUAACGGCCCACCAAGCCUUCGAUGGAUAGGGGUUCUGAGAGGAAGGUCCCCCACAUUGGAACUGAGACACGGUCCAAACUCCUACGGGAGGCAGCAGUGAGGAAUAUUGGUCAAUGGGCGCUAGCCUGAACCAGCCAAGUAGCGUGAAGGAUGAAGGCUCUAUGGGUCGUAAACUUCUUCUAUAUAAGAAUAAAGUGCAGUAUGUAUACUGUUUUGUAUGUAUUAUAUGAAUAAGGAUCGGCUAACUCCGUGCCAGCAGCCGCGGUAAUACGGAGGAUCCGAGCGUUAUCCGGAUUUAUUGGGUUUAAAGGGAGCGUAGGUGGACUGGUAAGUCAGUUGUGAAAGUUUGCGGCUCAACCGUAAAAUUGCAGUUGAUACUGUCAGUCUUGAGUACAGUAGAGGUGGGCGGAAUUCGUGGUGUAGCGGUGAAAUGCUUAGAUAUCACGAAGAACUCCGAUUGCGAAGGCAGCUCACUGGACUGCAACUGACACUGAUGCUCGAAAGUGUGGGUAUCAAACAGGAUUAGAUACCCUGGUAGUCCACACAGUAAACGAUGAAUACUCGCUGUUUGCGGUAUACAGUAAGCGGCCAAGCGAAAGCAUUAAGUAUUCCACCUGGGGAGUACGCCGGCAACGGUGAAACUCAAAGGAAUUGACGGGGGCCCGCACAAGCGGAGGAACAUGUGGUUUAAUUCGAUGAUACGCGAGGAACCUUACCCGGGCUUAAAUUGCAGUGGAAUGAUGUGGAAACAUGUCAGUGAGCAAUCACCGCUGUGAAGGUGCUGCAUGGUUGUCGUCAGCUCGUGCCGUGAGGUGUCGGCUUAAGUGCCAUAACGAGCGCAACCCUUAUCUUUAGUUACUAACAGGUUAUGCUGAGGACUCUAGAGAGACUGCCGUCGUAAGAUGUGAGGAAGGUGGGGAUGACGUCAAAUCAGCACGGCCCUUACGUCCGGGGCUACACACGUGUUACAAUGGGGGGUACAGAAGGCAGCUAGCGGGUGACCGUAUGCUAAUCCCAAAAUCCUCUCUCAGUUCGGAUCGAAGUCUGCAACCCGACUUCGUGAAGCUGGAUUCGCUAGUAAUCGCGCAUCAGCCACGGCGCGGUGAAUACGUUCCCGGGCCUUGUACACACCGCCCGUCAAGCCAUGGGAGCCGGGGGUACCUGAAGUACGUAACCGCAAGGAUCGUCCUAGGGUAAAACUGGUGACUGGGGCU